CCUACGGGAGGCAGCAGUGAGGAAGAGGGGGCAAGGGGCGCGAGCCUGAACCAGACAAGGAGCGUGAGGGAAGAAGGGCCGAGGGAUUGUAAACCUCUGGUGUCGGGGAGCAAAAGACGCCACGCGUGGCGUUCCGAGAGUACCAGAAGAAAAAGCAUCGCCCCCCGCCGAGCCCGCAGCCGCGGUAAUACGGAGGAUGCGAGCGUUAUCCGGAUUUAUUGGGUUUAAAGGGUGCGCAGGCGGAAGAUCAAGUCAGCGGUAAAAUUGAGAGGCUCAACCUCUUCGAGCCGUUGAAACUGGUUUUCUUGAGUGAGCGAGAAGUAUGCGGAAUGCGUGGUGUGGCGGUGAAAUGCAUAGAUAUCACGCAGAACUCCGAUUGCGAAGGCAGCAUACCGGCGCUCAACUGACGCUCAUGCACGAAAGUGUGGGUAUCGAACAGGAUUAGAUACCCGGGUAGUC
rnacentral:rRNA from 1 species